AACAGGAUUAGAUACCCUGGUAGUCCAUGCCGUAAACGAUGAUUACUAAGUGUUGGAGGGUUUCCGCCCUUCAGUGCUGCAGCUAACGCGUUAAGUAAUCCGCCUGGGGAGUACGACCGCAAGGUUGAAACUCAAAAGAAUUGACGGGGGCCCGCACAAGCGGUGGAGCAUGUGGUUUAAUUCGAAGCUACGCGAAGAACCUUACCAGGUCUUGACAUCUUCUGCCAACCUAAGAGAUUAGGCGUUCCCUUCGGGGACAGAAUGACAGGUGGUGCAUGGUUGUCGUCAGCUCGUGUCGUGAGAUGUUGGGUUAAGUCCCGCAACGAGCGCAACCCUUAUUACUAGUUGCCAGCAUUCAGUUGGGCACUCUAGUGAGACUGCCGGUGACAAACCGGAGGAAGGUGGGGACGACGUCAAAUCAUCAUGCCCCUUAUGACCUGGGCUACACACGUGCUACAAUGGAUGGUACAGCGAGUCGCGAAACCGCGAGGUUUAGCUAAUCUCUUAAAACCAUUCUCAGUUCGGACUGUAGGCUGCAACUCGCCUACACGAAGUCGGAAUCGCUAGUAAUCGCGGAUCAGCAUGCCGCGGUGAAUACGUUCCCGGGCCUUGUACACACCGCCCGUCACACCAUGAGAGUUUGUAACACCCAAAGUCGGUGGGGUAACCUUUUAGGAGCUAGCCGUCUAAGGUGGGACAGAUGAUUAGGGUGAAGUCGUAACAAGGUAACC
rnacentral:rRNA from 1 species